CGAGGAAUUUUGCGCAAUGGGCGAAAGCCUGACGCAGCAACGCCGCGUGGGUGAGGAAGGCCUUCGGGUCGUAAAGCCCUUUUGUCGGGGACGAAGUGGUGACGGUACCCGACGAAGAAGCCACGGCUAACUACGUGCCAGCAGCCGCGGUAAUACGUAGGUGGCGAGCGUUGUCCGGAUUUAUUGGGCGUAAAGGGCGCGCAGGUGGUGCGCUAAGUCCGUCGUGAAAUCUCCCGGCUCAACUGGGAGGGUGCGGCGGGGACUGGCGGACUAGAGGCACUCAGAGGCCGGUGGAAUUCCCGGUGUAGUGGUGAAAUGCGUAGAGAUCGGGAGGAACACCAGUGGCGAAGGCGGCCGGCUGGGGGUGACCUGACGCUGAGGCGCGAAAGCGUGGGGAGCGAACCGGAUUAGAUACCCGCGUAGUCC
rnacentral:rRNA from 1 species